AUUGAACGCUGGCGGCAUGCUUUACACAUGCAAGUCGAACGGCAGCGCGGGCUUCGGCCUGGCGGCGAGUGGCGAACGGGUGAGUAAUACAUCGGAACGUGCCCAGUAGUGGGGGAUAGCUCGGCGAAAGCCGGAUUAAUACCGCAUACGACCUGAGGGUGAAAGCGGGGGAUCUUCGGACCUCGCGCUAUUGGAGCGGCCGAUGGCAGAUUAGCUAGUUGGUGGGGUAAAGGCCUACCAAGGCGACGAUCUGUAGCUGGUCUGAGAGGACGACCAGCCUCACUGGGACUGAGACACGGCCCAGACUCCUACGGGAGGCAGCAGUGGGGAAUUUUGGACAAUGGGCGAAAGCCUGAUCCAGCAAUGCCGCGUGUGUGAUGAAGGCCUUCGGGUUGUAAAGCACUUUUGGCGGGAACGAAAAGGACUGUGCCAAUACCACGGUUCGAUGACGGUACCCGCAGAAUAAGCACCGGCUAACUACGUG
rnacentral:rRNA from 1 species